rnacentral:rRNA from 1 species
UACAGAGGGGGCAAGCGUUGUUCGGAAUUACUGGGCGUAAAGGGCUCGUAGGCGGCCACCUAAGUCCGACGUGAAAUCCCAAAGCUUAACUUUGGAACUGCGUCGGAUACUGGAUGGCUUGAAUUCGGGAGAGGGAUGCAGAAUUCCAGGUGUAGCGGUGAAAUGCGUAGAUAUCAGGAAGAACACCGGUGGCGAAGGCGGCUCUCUGGGCCUUACCUGACGCUGAGGAGCGAAAGCGUGGGUAGCGAACAGG